rnacentral:lncRNA from 1 species
UUCUCUCCACAUCCUAAAACUUUAUUAAACUGCAAACAGUUAAGAAAAAACACCAUACAAAAUACAACUGGUAAAACUUAUGGCUAUACACACAACCAUUAGUUAUUUUGAUAGAGCACACAAUCACAGAUCAAUACAAUGUUAAAGGCCUUUUCAGUAGUACAAAAAUAUUAGAAACCUUUACAAUUAUCACAUAGAAAAACUUUUUUUAUGGAAAAACUUUUUUUUUAAACGGCAGUGGUUAGACAGAAUGAUGCUCCUCCAUUCUGCUCACCUCUUUCACUCUCAUUUUCUUUCUUUCCAUUCCCUUCUCCCCUCUCCAUCUCUUUUUCACUUUCCCCCUCUCUGUUGCCCCCUCCUACCUUUUUCUCAGAGUUAGAUUUUGAAAGGGAAGGAGGAGUCAUUUUCUCCAGCCCCUCCUCCACUCCCUCAUCAAUGUACAACAGAGGCUCCUUCUCCUCCCAUUUCUCCGCCUCCUUGCUCCCAGCCACUCCAACUGCCCCAUCAGGCAUCGUCCUCUGCUCCUUUCUUCCGCUUGGAACUCUUCCCGUUCCGGACGCUGGACCCAAAGUACUCGGUGCGGCACUGCCUCUUUCGUCUGACGCCCAGAUAUAUGCAGUAGACCAUUCCCAGGCAUAUAACCCAGACCAGGAGACCGACGAUGAUGACCCAGAACAAGCUGAGCGGACUUCGCUCGACCCUGCCCGCCGUAGAGUCUGGAUCUGUGGAGGUGUGGGUCGUAGCAGGGGUUGUGAAAUGGCUGGGAGUGCUGUUGACUGAUGGGGAGGUGGGUGCAGGGGUAAGUCCCUCUGUGUGGCUGUCAGUACUCUCUGAGGCAGUGUGGAUAGGUUCAAGUGUAGGAAAGGAGUCCUUGGUCAGACGAGGGGUGGUGUGGAGGGGCCAGACUGGGAUAACAGAAGUCAGGUGGUCCUGGGAUGUGGUUGGGAGAUAAGAGGUGGUAGUCAGGACGUCUUGGGAGAGGAUGGGUUUAGGACCAGGUGGAGUGGUCGUAUCUACAGGCCCUUCAGUGAUCACAGGGGAUGGUGUCAUCGUCUCAGCCUCUGAAGUAGUAGUUGGUGCAUCAGAGGUGGGCUCCUGAAUGGUUGUGAUCUCAGGGUCUGUUAUUACUAUAGUGAUGGCAUCUAUGGUAAAUACUGGAACAGAAGUUACCGGGGUGAUUUCAGUGACAGGCUGUGCUGUAGUGACAAUCACAGGAGCAGUCGUUGUCUUGGUGGUGGCCUCAGGUGAAGAGGCUGCCAUCGUGCCGUCCUCAGUAGUUGGUGCUGCCAUGCUGACAUUUUCAGGUAUGGGGACAUUAUCUUGGGCAGGGAGACUGCGUAGAGAGAGGGAGAGGAGUAGAGCCCCGAGCAUCAGUCGUACCCACUCCAUACUGGGCAAGAACUGAGAGGGGUCACGGAGGUCAACCGUCACUAAAGGGUUUUGCUGACCUCUCUCAGAUUACGUUUGUCUUCCUCUCUCUGAGGUGCGUCAGCGACAGCCUUGUGGCUUGAAAGGUAUUGGAGGUUUGUUUUACAAGUCUAGAGCAGAAAAAUGCACAUUCUAGAAAAGAAAAGCAGUAUCCGUCAUCAGCUACCGGGGUUCUUGGUUUGACUAGGAUUAAGUGUCGGGCUUUGAUCUUCACUGCUCUCAGAUUUUCCCUUUCUUUCAGGCCUUGCUCUUGUUAAAAAUCUAAGGUUUGACUGAGUGUUAAGCAUUAGAAGUGCAUUUACGUAGUCAAACUUUUGUUCUCUUGCUGUCUCUCCUGGUUGCUGGGCUUGUGGUUAACUAGGGUGUACUUGUGUGCAAAUAGGCCGGAAAGACACAAGCCUUCUCUUCCUCUCUCGCUCUUCCGUUUUCUCCUCCCCUGCACUUCACUCUACUUUUCUGUAUAUCAGCUGUCUAUUUCAGGUGCAGCGUAAGAGAUUGCAGCAAUGGUGAACCAAAAAAGUCACGAGACCUAUAGAGAAAAGGAUAGAUUGAAGGGUAAAGGAAGAAAUGGAAGAAGGAAUGAAGAGGUUAUUUUAUGCGUACAUUCCCACAUGUGCUGUAUAAUACAUUUACCUCCUCACAGCAUCCACUGUCUGGACCGCUGUAGAUGUAAAAUGCUUGCUUAGUACACGCCUACAAAAUUAAGGAAGUUACCAACACUACUUCAUGUUGUUUAUUCUUGUCCGCGAUGUCACCAUCCAUUGAAAUUUUAUUUCUAAAUUAGUGUCUAAAAGCAAGUAGGCCUGUCUUAAAAAUUAUAAAUAAAUGAAGACUUAAAAAAAAACAUAUUUAAGAAAUUGAAAAAUGUAUUUAAAAGGAAUUAUGAAGAGAUACAUUAGGAGGACCCUCUUACUACAAGAGCAUGUCAGUAAAUGUAACACAAGCCUAUGAAAGUUCCUCUGAUUGUAUUUUUGAAACAUCUCUUUCCCUCCUUUUUCUUGUCUCCUUACACAGUCACCGUUACAAAGUCAUAUUCUGUCUAUUAUUAUCCAGAUCAGUGUCUGUUAAGAUCAGACAUAUAUCAAUGUGUGCCAUGAGAUUUUCAAUCUUACUUACCCACAUGUUUCUUGGAGAGAACGGUUGGGUUGAAGUUAUGAAUCCACCAUAAAGGCAUAGGCUUUAACUCCUGUACUGUGUGGAUGACGUCUCCUGCACUAGUGCAUGUAUAAAACACCUUUCUCUCGCUCUCUUCCUCCGUCCCUCCCUCCUGUUCACUCCCUUCUUUCUCUAACCCCUCCCUUAUUCUCUCUAGUUGGCUCUCUCUAUCUCUUCCCUUCAGAGUAUCAAAUUCUUCAUAAAACAGUUUUGUUAACUACAAAAGAGAGAUAGGUGGAUAGGUGGGGUUGGAGAGAUGCCAAGUAACUUAAGAGUAGCUUAAUUUUGGUUGCUG